GCGACCCCAGGUCAGGCGGGAUCACCCGCUGAGUUUAAGCAUA
rnacentral:rRNA from 8 species